rnacentral:lncRNA from 1 species
CACAGGUCACUGCUUCCUUUUCCUGCCUCACAAACAGUUUUCUCAAUCAUUUUGGGCACUGAGUUGGUGCCUCAGCACUUGGAUCUGUGUCAUAUGAUUUGAUCUUCUUUUCAGUGUUCUCCUAUUUGUCCCUGUCCAUGUGCUGUUUUUUCUGACACUAUUUUUUUUCUUCUUGUGUCAUUUUAUGACAGUGUUUCUCCAUGAUGUGCUUGUUAAGAGGUGAAAUAUCUGGAAAAAAAAUAGACUUUUUGUGAGAAUAAUAAAAAAAGAAAAAAAAAAGAAACUGACCAAUAAGAAAGUAAGUAAUUUUAUUUUUUCUAAUUUCUAAUGUCUUAUGUGCGUGUGUGUUGUUAUCUUAAAAUCUACAUUCAUGACUUUAUCUACAACAUAAGGCAUAUUUUGUAAAUGAGCUUAAACAGUCUAUCAAAUUGUAAUUAUUCAUGAAUAGUCUCUCUUUAUUGCUAAUGAUAUGCAUCACACUAACAGAGUUUGAUAUACUGGUUAUACAAAUAAAGUUCAUCUGAGGUAACACAGUUUAUUCCUUUCUCAGGCAUCCAGCCUGGAUCUCAGCUGCAAAGGAGAAAAGUUCUUGUGCCUGUCUUGCCUGGAGUGCUGGCCUUGCUGGACUCAACCCAUUUGCCACCAGUGGAUUAAAACUGAGACCCAAAACACCAGCGAGGUACCUCAUGCUCAGCCCUUGGGGAGGUCUGUGCACUGGCCGAGUGUCGAGGCUUGAACAUGUUACAACAGACCCAUGAAUUCACAUUUUGAAGUGUUAGAGCUCCAGUGAUGUUUUAUGGAGCCUUUUCUUUCUUUCAAAAUAUUUGCAGUCAUGUAGUAUUGGGCUGCAGUGGGCUGUAACAUUUGGGAUCCCUGUGGAGUGGACUCUCUCUGGCAGCUCAUCAGGAUGAAAACUGAAAUUAGGAUUGCAGAGAAGAACCAGAGAAAUUCCACUUGGUGAAUUAAAUGUUAUUGAGCUUGAGGACCUGGAAAAGAGUUAGUGAUGUAUCUGGGUGAACUCCCAAAUUGGUAUGAAUGACAGGCAUAGAAGGUAUUGCUUAGAGCAAAAAUGCAGUGUAACAGAUCUGUUGAGACCAGCAAACAGUUUCUGGAAAUGACUGGUGCUUGAUAGUUCUUAGUGAUAGGCAAAUGGCAUACUCCAAAUUACGUGUGGUCCAUUGUGUAAUUCUGUGUGGGUGUGGACCUUUGCAGGUUAUUGGCCUAUGCCACCUGGCACAAAAUGUGUUUGCUUAAGUCUUAGCAUGUAGAACUUUGGGUGUUUGUCUUCAUGUGUAUGUGAAAGGUUCAGGGUUAAGUGAGGGAGAACUAACCAGAAACUGAGAUCAGCAGAAGCAUUCUGGAUA